rnacentral:rRNA from 1 species
UACGUAGGCAGCAAGCGUUGUUCGGAGUUACUGGGCGUAAAGGGUGCGUAGGCGGUUGUUUAAGUUUUGGUGUGAAAUCUCCCGGCUCAACUGGGAGGGUGCGCCGAAUACUGAAUGACUAGAGGUGCGGGAGAGGAGAGUGGAAUUCCUGGUGUAAGCGGUGAAAUGCGUAGAUAUCAAGGAGGAACACCGGUGGUGUGAGACGGCUCUCGUGGACCGUAACUGACGCUGAGGCACGAAAGCGUGGGUAGCAAACAGG